GAGGAAAGAGGGAGGCGUGCCUAAUACAUGCAAGUCGAGCGAACAGACGAGGAGCUUGCUCCUCUGACGUUAGCGGCGGACGGGUGAGUAACACGUGGAUAACCUACCUAUAAGACUGGGAUAACUUCGGGAAACCGGAGCUAAUACCGGAUAAUAUAUUGACCCGCAUGGUUCCCUCGUGAACGCCGGUUUUGCUGUCACUUCUAGCUGGAUCCGCGCCGCAUUCGCUAGUUGGUAAGGUACCGGCUUACCAAGGCAACGAUGCGUAGCCGACCUGAGAGGGUGAUCGGCCACACUGGAACUGAGACACGGUCCAGACUCCUACGGGAGGCAGCAGUAGGGAAUCGGCCGCAAGGGGCGAAAGCCGGACGGAGCAACGCCGCGUGAGUGAGGAAGGUCUUCGGAUCGUAAAACUCUGUUAUUAGGGAAGAACAAAUGGGGAAGGAACGAGGCACGUCGUGACGGGACCGAAUCAGAAAGCCACGGCUAACUACGUG
rnacentral:rRNA from 1 species